GAAUGUGCCCUUCGGGGGAAAGAUUUAUCGCCUUUAGAGCGGCCCGCGUCUGAUUAGCUAGUUGGUGAGGUAAAGGCUCACCAAGGCGACGAUCAGUAGCUGGUCUGAGAGGAUGAUCAGCCACACUGGGACUGAGACACGGCCCAGACUCCUACGGGAGGCAGCAGUGGGGAAUCUUGCGCAAUGGGCGAAAGCCUGACGCAGCCAUGCCGCGUGAAUGAUGAAGGUCUUAGGAUUGUAAAAUUCUUUCACCGGGGACGAUAAUGACGGUACCCGGAGAAGAAGCCCCGGCUAACUUCGUGCCAGCAGCCGCGGUAAUACGAAGGGGGCUAGCGUUGCUCGGAAUUACUGGGCGUAAAGGGCGCGUAGGCGGAUCGUUUAGUCAGAGGUGAAAUCCCAGGGCUCAACCCUGGAAUUGCCUUUGAUACUGGCGAUCUUGAGUGUGAGAGAGGUAUGUGGAACUCCGAGUGUAGAGGUGAAAUUCGUAGAUAUUCGGAAGAACACCAGUGGCGAAGGCGACAUACUGGCUCAUUACUGACGCUGAGGCGCGAAAGCGUGGGGAGCGAACAGGAUUAGAUACCCUGGUAGUCCACGCCGU
rnacentral:rRNA from 1 species